rfam:Schistosoma rodhaini strain Burundi genome assembly, scaffold: SROB_scaffold0010474
AUCCAACUGACGAGUUCAAUUUAGGUUGAAACGCGCGUCUUGGAU